CCCUUUCGUGGAACGCUUUUUUGCAACACCUGGUACUGGAAAGCAACUGAUGGAUUUAUACUAACAUUUUGGAAAAUUUAAGCACAAAUUAUGCAAGAACCAGAAGCAUGGAGGCAGUUACAAUCAUCAAUUGUCCAAAUUACCCUUGAAAAUGGAGAAGAGAAAUUGAAUGAAGAGAAGAAGAAUUGCUUCUGGCUCAAGAAGUGUGCGGAAGACGUGGAAAGCGCAUCGCACAGUUAAAGAAGGCAAGAACUUUGGAUUAGGACAACAAAUUGAAUUUGUUUAUGAAAAUGGUUUCUUUGUUGGAGCAAUAUUAUGGUACAACAGAGGAUUGCAAGAGUUUCGGGUAUACUAUGACGAAGAUAACUCGGACGAUUAUAUUUCUUUAGAAGACAUUAAUGGGAUUGAAGUAGUUUUACUUAAGUUAGAUUAGAUAUUUACUUUUUGUUGCCGUUAUGUUCUGUUUUGUUCUACAAAGUCGUUACUAUCUUUGGAAAAAUUAAAAAAAUAGAUUCAAAGUCUCUCAUCUCUGUAAUAGUUCCUAACAUUAACUAAAAUUUCUUCUUAGCAUGAAAAUUUAAAUUAAAGGAGCCCCAAAUAUAAAAUUCAUGACAUCAUAAUUAAGAAACUCUUAAGAAACAAUGAGUAUUGAAAUUUCCAGAACAUUAAAAAACUGGAGUACUCAACAUUGAUAUUUUUUUCUUAUAAAAAAGAGUGUAGUAAAAGAGAUCAAGAUGAAAUGGGAAAUGGCUGAUUUUAUAUAUUUAAAUUAUGACACACUUUUGAUAUUUAUUGAUAUGAGCAUACAACUUCAUACCUGUCUCCAAAAAUAUCUAUUAUUGAAACAAGCUAGAAAUUUCUAGAAAUUUUUUGGAAAAAGAGAGUUUCAAAGAGAGAGGAUAGACAAGUUGAGUAACCUAAUUUUCUGACCACGCCCAUUUAAGAUCAAUUUAAAAUGAGGAAGGUUUUACUAAUUAUAGUAAUGUAUUAUAGUAAUGUUUUCUUGGCCCGAGGAAGGUUGACAACUUUUACGGACUCUGUUGAUGGGAUCUACCGCAGCAAUCGAAGUAAAAUUGACUUGGCAAGCAAUCGAUUUGCUUUGAGUAGACAUUAGGUUUUGCAUGGUAGAAGAUAGCUAUUUACUAAUUUGGCUUGAAUGUAAUGUAAAGAAUGAUUUUUAGGGACAAGAUCUGGUGGAUUCGGUAACGAAAAGCAUGACUUUCGGAGUAGCGAUAAGAAAUGGAAACCGAAAUGUAAAGAAGACGCUUUGCCUUCAAGCCGUAGAAAAUGAUCCCUGCUUAUAUACGCAAGUUUACAGUUAAUGGAAUACUAGUGAAACACUUGUCAUUGAUCCGGACAAGGCUGCCUAACUGAGAGGCAGUAGGCUUAGGCAUAUGCCUUGUACUUUUCAUCAAUUCUUUUCUUCAUUAUAGUGAUUGCUUUGCUAUAAACACGUCCUCUAAGUUUGUUGUUUGAAAUUAGAAAUUCUGAUGUUUAAAAUGAUUUUUUAACCUUCAUUAAUACAUAAGAGAAGAGUUAUCAAUAACAAGCGUAACAAGCGUGUGCUUUGAUAAAAACUCAUCCUCCGGUUUUUGAAGUGUUUCUAUCCUCGCACCGGGCGACAAUUAUCUAGGCGUCAUGAUAUAUUCAAGGCUUUCAGGCAUCAUUGUCAGACAAAAUAAAAAGAAACUUUGAACUUGCAUUCAUUUCUUUUUGCUAGUUGAAUGCGUAAACUGCCCCGGCAAACCACGCUUUGUUCACGCUGUUGUUUACUUUUGAAAUGUGAAUGCCGCAUAAUUCUUUGCAUAAUUGAUUUUUCCAGAGAUACUAGGAAACUCACGUACGCGAUUUUGCUCUCGGUAACACAGACCCUCUACUUUCAAGUUAGGGGUCUGGAACGCAGGCCACUGAAAACAUUGCAAGGGGUGACAGAGAAGGCCGUCUCCUCGCAUGGGCUGUUCUGGGGCCCUCUUCUCGGAUGGCGACACUUUGGUCACAUUAGAAGCUCGAUCCAGUCUUUUUUAUAGAUCAGUGGACCAGACUCUCUAUUUUAUUUUAUACAUAGUGAGUCUGGUACCCAGGAUAGGUGGUGCAUUUGAAAUGGUUAGUCCGUCCUCCGUCUUUAUAUAAACGUUAUUACUCAAAGGAAAUGUAGCUUUUGUAUAUGUGGUUUGGCUUGCGAACUUAGAAGUCAAGCGUAAAAAAUAUAUGCCACAAACCAUUCGAAGCACCUGGUAAUAACGCUGCUAGCCCAAGCGAUACAGCACACAGUUUCUUGCACUGUUAAAAAACUACAACUCCAUUUUUUAAUUUUAAAUUUUAGCUAUAUCCACGCAAGCAGUUUAUUUGUGGUACAAAAUCAUACAAUCAAGUAUAAAGUUUAUUUGUCAAUCUUUAAAAGCUCUUGCGCAACCGGCAUGCUUAGCGGCAGUUGUCUUCAGAAAUUAACUGGGUUUGCAUUUUCAUGCAGUAUUAGGCCGGUUUUUCUAAUUAUAGUCGCAAAGCGUGACAGUUGCGCAA